CCUACGGGUGGCAGCAGUGAGGAAUAUUGGUCAAUGGGCGGAAGCCUGAACCAGCCAAGUAGCGUGCGGGAUGAAGGCCCUACGGGUCGUAAACCUCUUUUGCACGGGGAUAACACCCUCCACGUGUGGCUGUCUGCAGGUACCGUGCGAAUAAGGGUCGGCUAAUUCCGUGCCAGCAGCCGCGGUAAUACGGAAGGUCCGAGCGUUAUCCGGAUUUAUUGGGGUUAAAGGGUGCGUAGGCGGGCGUUUAAGUCAGCGGUAAAAUCGCGCGGCUCAACCGCGCCCCGCAGUUGAAACUGGACGCCUUGAGUUCACAAGAGGCAGGAGGAAUUCGUGGUGUAGCGGUGAAAUGCAUAGAUAUCACGAAGAACCCCGAUUGCGAAGGCAGCCUGCCGGCGUGCGACUGACGCUGAGGCACGAAGGUGCGGGUAUCAAACAGGAUUAGAUACCCGGGUAGUC
rnacentral:rRNA from 1 species